AAGACUGUGUCAAGAGGAGCUGAAGGGUUGAUCUUGGCUACACAGCCAGAAUGAACCACAGUGUACUCACUGAAAGUGGAAGUCCCAACAAAAUGGUAAAUGGGCUUGCCCUUGAUGGAAAAUCUUGAUUUUCCAUCUUCAAUCAUCACACCUCUGUCUGGAUUAACCCUGAGGAGUUCACACAUAUUGCUCUGUUCUGAUUUGCAAUGUGCACAAUCCUUGCAUUCCCCUGUGAAUAUAGGGAGGACAUGAUCGCCAGGUUUGAGUUCUGUCACACCCUCACCAACACUCUCCACAAUCCCUCCAGCCUCAUGACCAAAAAUUCUAGGAAACAAAGGACUCUGUUCCUUGGCCUCCCAGAAGUAGAUGUCAGAGUGGCAAAUAGCUGUAUAAAGGAUCUUGAUACGGACCUCCAUGGCCUGUGGGGGUGCCACCUCUACUUCUUCUAUCACCAGUGGCUUCCCUGCUUCCCAUGAAACAGCAGCUUUGCAAAGUAUAAUCUGAUUAGCAGAACUUGCCAUAUUUCUUCUUUCAAUUCUUAUCCGUUCUAAUGACAAUAAAAAGGCACUGCCUUGCUCUCUAUCAGAGGUCUGCAACUGGUCUUAUCUUAAAAGUGG
rnacentral:misc_RNA from 1 species